rnacentral:rRNA from 1 species
GACGAACGCUGGCGGCGUGCUUAACACAUGCAAGUCGAACGGAAAGGCCCUGCUUUUGUGGGGUGCUCGAGUGGCGAACGGGUGAGUAACACGUGAGUAACCUGCCCUUGACUUUGGGAUAACUUCAGGAAACUGGGGCUAAUACCGGAUAGGAGCUCCUGCGGCAUGGUGGGGGUUGGAAAGUUUCGGCGGUAGGGGAUGGACUCGCGGCUUAUCAGCUUGUUGGUGGGGUAGUGGCUUACCAAGGCUUUGACGGGUAGCCGGCCUGGGAGGGUGGCCAGCCACAUUGCGACUGAGAUACGGCGCAGACUGCUACGGGAGGCAGCAGUGGGGAAUAUUGCACAAUGGGCGGAAGCCUGAUACAACAACGCCGCGUGCGGGAUGACGGCCUGCGGGUUGUAAACCGCUUUCGCCUGUUACGGAGCGUGAGUGACGGUAAUGGGUAAAGAAGCACCGGCUAACUACGUG